rnacentral:rRNA from 1 species
AGAGUUUGAUCCUGGCUCAGGACGAACGCUGGCGGCGUGCCUAAUACAUGCAAGUCGAGCGAGCGGAACCAACAGAUUUACUUCGGUAAUGACGUUGGGAAAGCGAGCGGCGGAUGGGUGAGUAACACGUGGGGAACCUGCCCCUAAGUCUGGGAUACCAUUUGGAAACAGGUGCUAAUACCGGAUAAUAAAGCAGAUCGCAUGAUCAGCUUUUGAAAGGCGGCGUAAGCUGUCGCUAAGGGAUGGCCCCGCGGUGCAUUAGCUAGUUGGUAAGGUAACGGCUUACCAAGGCGACGAUGCAUAGCCGAGUUGAGAGACUGAUCGGCCACAUUGGGACUGAGACACGGCCCAAACUCCUACGGGAGGCAGCAGUAGGGAAUCUUCCACAAUGGACGCAAGUCUGAUGGAGCAACGCCGCGUGAGUGAAGAAGGUUUUCGGAUCGUAAAGCUCUGUUGUUGGUGAAGAAGGAUAGAGGUAGUAACUGGCCUUUAUUUGACGGUAAUCAACCAGAAAGUCACGGCUAACUACGUGCCAGCAGCCGCGGUAAUACGUAGGUGGCAAGCGUUGUCCGGAUUUAUUGGGCGUUAAGCGAGCGCAGGCGGAAAAAUAAGUCUAAUGUGAAAGCCCUCGGCUUAACCGA